UACGUAGGGUGCGAGCGUUAAUCGGAAUUACUGGGCGUAAAGCGUGCGCAGGCGGUUCGCCAAGUCAGGUGUGAAAUCCCCGGGCUUAACCUGGGAAUUGCACUUCUAACUACCGGGCUAGAGUACGUCAGAGGGGGGUAGAAUUCCACGUGUAGCGGUGAAAUGCGCAGAUAUCAGGAGGAACACCGACGGCGAAGGCAGCACUCUGGGCCGGUACUGACGCUGAGGAGCGAAAGCAUGGGGAGCGAACAGG
rnacentral:rRNA from 1 species